rnacentral:rRNA from 1 species
AUAAGCGGAGGAAAAGAAACCAACAGGGAUUGCCCUAGUAACGGCGAGUGAAGCGGCAACAGCUCAAAUUUGAAAUCUGGCCUUCGGGUCCGAGUUGUAAUUUGUAGAGGAUGCUUUUGGUGAGGUACCUUCCGAGUUCCCUGGAACGGGACGCCAUAGAGGGUGAGAGCCCCGUCUGGUUGGAUACCGAUCCUCUGUAAAGCUCCUUCGACGAGUCGAGUAGUUUGGGAAUGCUGCUCUAAAUGGGAGGUAUAUGUCUUCUAAAGCUAAAUAUUGGCCAGAGACCGAUAGCGCACAAGUAGAGUGAUCGAAAGAUGAAAAGCACUUUGAAAAGAGAGUUAAAAAGUACGUGAAAUUGUUGAAAGGGAAGCGCUCAUGACCAGACUUGGGCUUGGUUGAUCAUCCAGGGUUCUCCCUGGUGCACUCUUCCAGCUCAGGCCAGCAUCAGUUCGCUGUGGGGGAUAAAGGCUUCGGGAAUGUGGCUCCUCCGGGAGUGUUAUAGCCCGCUGCGUAAUACCCUGUGGUGGACUGAGGUUCGCGCAUCUGCAAGGAUGCUGGCAUAAUGGUCAUCAGCGACCCGUCUUGAAACACGGACCAAGGAGUCGUCUUCGUAUGCGAGUGUUCGGGUGUUAAACCCCUACGCGUAAUGAAAGUGAACGCAGGUGAGAGCUUCGGCGCAUCAUCGACCGAUCCUGAUGUUCUCGGAUGGAUUUGAGUAAGAGCAUACGGGGCCGGACCCGAAAGAAGGUGAACUAUGCCUGUAUAGGGUGAAGCCAGAGGAAACUCUGGUGGAGGCUCGCAGCGGUUCUGACGUGCAAAUCGAUCGUCAAAUAUGGGCAUGGGGGCGA